AAUCAUGAACUGGCCUCUUCUUCUUCUGAUAUCCUCUGUGUCCUAUGUGUGCGGCAUCAGUCUGACCUCAUCUCCUGCUGAGGUUAAACCUCCCGGAUCCUCAGUGAAGUUGUCCUGUCAGAUUUCUGGCUAUCAGCUCACUAGCCAGGGCACAGGCUGGAUCAGGCAGCAUCCAGGAAAAGCCUUGGAGUGGAUCGGGAUCAUAUGGAGUGGUGGAAGCAUAGACUCUGGAGCUUCUUUUAAAAGUCGCUUUAGCAUCUCCAGAGACACGAGCAAGAAUGUUCUUUACUUGGACAUCAGCAACCUGGUGGCAGAAGACACUGGUGUUUAUUAUUGUGCAAGGAGACACAGCUGUACACCUUAGUGAGAGGACUGUACAAAAACUAAAACUAAAAUAUGUGUGAUGUUUUUCCUUCAAUUUCACAUCCCAUAUACAUACAGAAAUAUGAAAUCAUUAGAGAUGAGAUAAGAUAAUAAUUUGUGUAUAUAUUUACUUUUUUUUGGAUAUUUAUAUACCUGCAGCCCCAUUAGAACUGCAUGAGAGGUGUGCUUUUCAUUACAUUUUAUAUCCUCUGAGAGGCGCUCUUUCUCUACUUACACAAUAUCUUACUCACAAUGUUGAGGUUCAAAUGAUUGUGAGAUGAAAAGGACUGUACUAAAAUCUAUUUACAACAUUGUUUAUAACUAAAUACAGAUCUAUUAUAUCAGUGUGUCAUGAAA